rnacentral:rRNA from 1 species
UACGUAGGAUGCAAGCGUUGUCCGGAAUUAUUGGGCGUAAAGAGCGCGCAGGCGGUCUAUCAAGUCAGAUGUGAAAUAUCCCGGCUUAACCGGGAGGGGUCAUUUGAAACUGGUAGACUAGAGUACAGCAGAGGAUAGCGGAAUUCCCGGUGUAGUGGUGAAAUGCGUAGAUAUCGGGAGGAACACCAGUGGCGAAGGCGGCUAUCUGGGCUGAAACUGACGCUGAGGCGCGAAGGCUAGGGGAGCA